AAGUCGUAACAAGGUUUCCGUAGGUGAACCUGCGGAAGGAUCAUUAACAAAAUUGAGGAGGCAAGCAGGGUCGGCAACGGCUCUGUGAGGCCGCCAAUACACCUUUGUGAAUCGGGCUGUGCAUUUCGGUGUGCAGCUUAGAAGGGAUGGGCCGAUGCGACGGUUGGACGCUCGCCGUCUGCCGUCGCAUCACAACACAUUAUAUUAAAGUCUAAUAACAUGUCGAAAGACAACUAAUACAACUUUUAACAAUGGAUCUCUAGGCUCUU
rnacentral:misc_RNA from 1 species